AUAAAUUAAUUUUUUAGAGUGCUCAUGGUUCUAAGUAAACCACUCAGAUCUUGGCAUCUGAAGACCCCAUACUUAUGUAUCUCUCCCUAAACAUUGCAUAAAAGCUCUAAUUGCCUUAAAGCUAUGGCAUCUUGUCACAACCUUAAGAGUCACAUCAAUCCCACUACUAUUGUUAUUGCCAAUACUAAGAGUAGUCCUAAUCUAAUUAAACGUGGACCUUACGCCUGAGCUAGUAAUCCUUUGGCUCUCUUAAGCACAGCAGAGAAAUAGUUACUUUUAGGGUGCAAUGUACCUUACUCUUAACUAGAAAUCCAAAAUAUGUCAGCAAACAAGACUGAUUUUCUUCAAGUGUGGGGGGUUUUGACUUUUGGGUUUGUUUUUAUUUUUUUUUUAGAAGAUUAUAAAAGUAAUGUUAAAAUUAGCUGAGGACUAGCACAAAAGGCAUAGGCACCUACAAUUACCUGACGUAAAUCAUUCUUUAUUUCUCUGUUUUAACUUAGCUCUUUGUUAGAGACAAAAUGUACUUUUCUUAAAUAAAGAACUAUGAGGGGUAGUUUUGUCAUUUACCAGUUUAGGAAAGCAUUGACCUUCAUUUUGUACUUUGUGAAUAAAUUUGGGGGGUUUUAGGGGAUGUUUUUUUGUUUUGUUUCAGUUGAUUUUUUUGUUCAUGAGGGAUUUUUUCUUUGCUUCUUUUCUAUUUUUCUUCUAUUUUUUUCUCAUCAAUGUUUUUCUUUUUUUUUUUUUUUAAUUAGUCUUAUUCUCUAGGGUUUCUUUAUUGGAGAGAAAGUGAUCAUGACCUUUAUUGUCUCAUCAGCUGCCAUGCUGGUAGAGACAAGCAAUAACUGAAAUUGAAGAGAUAUUUAGCUAUUGAAUCCUACAACUGUUCAUGCAAACUCCUCUUAUAUGCCAGGACAGCAUGCUGUUGGUUGUUUUUCAUGGUGGUUUUUUGUUUUUUUUUUUUUUUUUUGUUUGUUUUAUCAAGUUAGCAUAACUGGUUCAUAUUGUCAUCAACAGAUCAGAGCAGACCAAGUGACAAAAUCUGUCUGUGCAUGAGAUAAGUCACCACUUUAUUGUCAGCAAUAGUGUGGAAUAUCCAAAGACAUUAUGAAAUAAGGAGAAAAUAACUUACUAAUUCAUUAUUGAUUUUCUGGUAUGAUCUUGUCUGAUAUCACAACAACACAAGACAAAAUGAGAAUUAUCUGAUCUUUGGUUUAUCAAUAAAUCUCAUUUGUUAGAAAGUGUCACAAACCUAAGCCGAAUCCUACAGCUAAGUAGCUUCUUAACUGUUGAUUCUGCACUGAUUUUGUCUCGUCUUUGCAGAUAUUGAAGACCACUGUGUCUGAUUAUUGGCCAUGAAAUACAAACUAUCAUGGAGGUCAGGACUGGAUUCUUGUGGUUUGGAUUUUCACAGGGAGUGAACAUUGUGAAGAACAGUGAACUAGUAUCAUUCAGAUAUUGUUCAAGAACAUAAUUUAAGAAAGAGCCUUAAAGCUGAUUAAAUCAAAUGCAGAUGCAGAACUGGUGCAAAACAGAUGCUGAAAAACCAUGUCAAUAUCCUAAAGGAAUCCAUUCCGUAUCAGAAGGAAACUUAAUUUCUACUAUAAAGAAUUUGAUUAUGUAUUGUUAUACCAAAUGUGAUUAAUGUUUUGUGGUGAUUAAUCAACUGCAAAAUAUAUAAUUAUGCCAUCUGUAUUUUUCCAGCUUCUUGUCACUUAAGAAUUACACUGAGGAGUGGGAGGUGGGAUAAUGAGCACUGGUGGCAUUUAGAGUGCUUAAAGCUACGCUCCAAAAGCCUGAGGAAUCCACUACCAAAAAGAACUGGCAUUUAUUCUAAUAGCAAAACCUCUAAGCGUAUUAAGUAAGAACCCAGAAGACCCAUUGGCUUGAUAGCUACUUAUGUGGAAGACCCAGUUAUGGAGUUCAAACAGCCUGGGACCCAUGAGGGCUUGCUCCAAUUCAAAGGUAACCUAUUAAGACCCCAGGAGAGUAUUCAGAAUUUGACUUUUGGACUACCUCCUGCUGUCUGAUUUAUGAAACAGACCUGACACUGAUGCAGGGAUCAUCGACUGUCUUCUGGUUGCAUGUAAAGUGAGGUAUAUUUGCAGUGACAGUUGCAAGCAAAGAAUAACUCUAACUACUUACAUAUAUUUUAUUUUUUUUCCCUCCAGGGAAAGCAAUUAUUUAGGUUCAGAUCUGAGGUAAGACACUUGGCCCACAAAAUCAUCUAUCAAACCAAAGAGAUGCCUUUUCAAAAUGUCAUGCAGAAUUAAGGUAAAAGAGGUAAAAAUCAAGCUUCCUUUGGGAAGCUGGUACCAACACAGUACAGAGUGGUCAGUAUCAGUCUUUUAUCUAUUCUCAAAUUAAAAUACAUCAUUUGGGA